GUUAGUGGUUGGGUGAAGGCUUGAGGAACAACCAGUACAAUGGCCUGGAGGAAAGAGGACACAGUCAGGACCAGGAGAACCAUAGCCAUGUUGUUCUAUGGAAAUGUGGAAGAGAGAAGCACAUCCUGUUGCUGAGUGACAUGCUCAUGUCAUUCCUGGGGAAGCAGGUGGCCAAUCAGUAAUAGACAGGGUGCAUAUUACCAUUGAGGACACGUAGAUUCAGAGAGGUCCAGAAGCUUGCCCAGGGUCACCAAGCAGGUGAGUCGCAGAGCUGGGAUUUAAACCUGGG